ACUCCUACGGGAGGCAGCAGUCGGGAAUUUUGGGCAAUGGGCGAAAGCCUGACCCAGCAACGCCGCGUGAAGGAUGAAGUAUUUCGGUAUGUAAACUUCGAAAGAAUGGGAAGAAACAAAUGACGGUACCAUUUAUAAGGUCCGGCUAACUACGUGCCAGCAGCCGCGGUAAUACGUAGGGACCAAGCGUUGUUCGGAUUUACUGGGCGUAAAGGGCGCGUAGGCGGCAUAUUAAGUCAGCUGUGAAAUCUCCGAGCUUAACUCGGAACUGUCAGCUGAUACUGAUGUGCUAGAGUGCAGAAAGGGCAAUCGGAAUUCUUGGUGUAGCGGUGAAAUGCGUAGAUAUCAAGAGGAACACCUGAGGCGAAGGCGGGUUGCUAGGCUGACACUGACGCUGAGUGCGCGAAAGCCAGGGGAGCAAACGGGAUUAGAUACCCCGGUAGUCCUGGCCUUAAACGAUGAAUACUUGGUGUCUGGAGUCUUUAAUGCUCCGGGUGCCGUCGCUAACGUUUUUAGUAUUCCGCCUGGGGAGUACGCUCGCAAGAGUGAAACUCAAAGGAAUUGACG
rnacentral:rRNA from 1 species